rnacentral:rRNA from 1 species
GACGAACCGUGCGAACGUUGUUCGGAAUCACUGGGCUUAAAGGGCGCGUAGGCGGUCAAUCCAGUCGGGGGUGAAAUCUUGCAGCUUAACUGUAAAAGUGCCUUCGAUACUGAUUGACUCGAGGGAGGUAGGGGCAGGUGGAACUUCCAGUGGAGCGGUGAAAUGUGUUGAUAUUGGAAGGAACGCCGGUGGCGAAGGCGGCAUCCUGGACCGGUAGUUGACGCUGAGGCGCGAAAGCCAGGGGAGCAAAG